UUGUUUAUUUAUUUUUCCCACCUGAUCAUGUAUUUCUUUUCAUAUUUUAAUCUGAUUUUAUAGAUAUUUAAUACUGUACAAAUAUAUUUCAAGUCACGCACUGAGAGGUCAUUUUGUAUAAUCCAAAAUUAUCAACUUUGAAAGAAGCGUGUGGUUAGAAGAAAUAUUUGAUUCAACAAUUUGAAAUUACAAAAUUGAAAAAAAAGAAUAUAGCUCAUGUUCUCCUUUUCAACAAACAACAAAAUUUUGCAAAAGUUGAUAUUUCAAACCUCUAUCUAUUUAUUGUAUAAAGGAUAAGAACAACAUUUCAGUCAAAAAGAUGGUUAAAUUUUAUUGGUUGUUGAUAUUUUAUUAUGGACCAGUAUUACUUUUAAAAAUACUUGCCAACCUUUGUUAAUGAAUGGUUGUAUAAUUGUGUAAUUUAUUGUUAAUGUUUUAAUUGUUGAUGUGCUUAAUGGUGCAAGUUGCAUUGUGUACAUAAGAAUUUUCAUGGAAUGGUAUAUUUUUAUUUAAGCAAAUGAUAUUUUCUUUACAAAAACAGAAAAACUAUGUUCAUUAAUAUAACAUGUAUUUCAUGUGUUCACAAUAUAUCAAAAAGUUUUCCAUGAUUGUAUAUAAUGAGACUAGUCAAGUUAUAGUUUUGUGACAUAAUAUACAUAAUAGUUAAUGUCAUGUCUUGUAGUCUUGUUACUGUGCAUAUUUGAAAGACUUUACAGAGGCGGAUUUAGAGGGUUUUCAGGGGGCCCAGACCCCCCCACCCUCACCCCUUUUUGUGGGAAAAAUUUGGGUGAUUAUAUAGAGAAUCACUAAAGCAUGACUGGAGCUGGCCCUCUCUUAGGCAGCCAGUGGACCUCCCUUAUGAAAAUUUCGGGAUCCUUUCCUGCUUUUUCCUUUCACAAUACCAAUUGCUAAAAUGUUAAUCAAAUUGAAAUUUGACUCAAUUUCUACAAAGAUAGAAGUUGUUGAUAUUUUAACUCAUUGCUUGCACAGGUUUUGUAGAGUUAUUGAAAGUUUUUUUUUUUUUUUUAAUUCACACCAACUAAAUAAUCUUGUGACCAAUCUGCCCUUUUCUUUUUUUAGAAGGUUAAAGCAUAUAUAUAUAUAUGUACAGUGUAAACUGUGUAAUCAGACCCACUGGGGGACCAGAACAAAAUGUCAGAUUAAGCAGGGUAUCAGAAUUCUCGGAUUUUUCUGCAAGGAUACGCUUAUUUUGGGACCAUGAAUAUGUGUGGGUUAAAGCAGGAUGUUGGAAUACUUAAGUGUUGGAUUAGGCAGGUUACACUGUACCUAUUAUGAAUCAAACUAAGCUCUAGUCAAUAAUGUUAAGUGUGAAAAUAUUUGUAAAAUUUUUGUCAAUAUUUUUGCACAUCAUAGAUAAUGCUAGGAAUUUUUUGCCUUGAAAGAGAGAUACAAACCUAGUUUUUCUAUUCCAAUUUGAAAGAUUUGUACUGUAAUACUUUUGUACAUGUAGAAUAUUUUUCCUUUGUUUAAAUUUGUUUUAAUCAAAUUUCAGUUGGAAAAUAUUCAUUAAUAAACCUUAAAAAAAAUAAAUGAACUCAUUGAAUAGACAUGAAUAAUUGUAGCAUAUUUUAUAGAUUUAUUUGAAUGAAAGCAAUAAAUAGAUAAAUGUUCGAUAUUGAACUCUUAGUUUACAGCCUGUAUAGUGUCAUGAUUCUUCACUAUACUUCAUCAAAAGCAUUCUUUUUCCAAUAAAUUAAGGGAGGUAAUCCAGUAAAUUUGAUCUGCAAGUAUACAUCUUAUUUCAAUGUUUCUGUACCAUUUCGCAGAAGAAACUAUAACUUCACUCUCAAAAUUAGUUUCAAAUAUCAAUUUUUCAUUCCUUAUGAAUAACUUUCUUUUUAAAAUCCUUCAAAGACUAACACACACGAAAACAUGAUAUAAUAUAAGAUUAUAUCUGGAGAUGGUUCUCUUUAAGAAGAAACUAAUUUCCUGCCUUGACGGAAUGGUAGAACAAUUUUCAAUAAUUUAAAGACAAUUCAGUUGGACCCUAAAUUGAUGACAUUACAAUAUUGUUUGCUGGUUUCAUUUUUAUGCCCCACCUACGAUAGUAGAGGGGCAUUAUGUUUUCUGGUCUGUGCGUCCGUUCGUUCGUUCGUUCGUCCGUCUGUCUGUUCGUUCUUUCGUCCGUCUGUCCUGCUUCAGGUUAAAGUUUUUGGUCAAGUUAGUUUUUGAUGAAGUUGAAGUCCAAUCAACUUGAAACUUAGUACACAUUUUCCUUAUGAUAUGAUCUUUCUAAUUUUAAAGCCAAAUUAAACUUUUGACCCCAAUUUCACGGUCCACUGAACAUAGAAAAUGAAAGUGCAUGUUUCAGGUUAAAGUUUUUGGUCAAGGUAGUUUUUGAUGAAGUUGAAGUCCAAUCAACUUGAAACUUAGUACAAAUGUUCCCAAUGAUAUUAUCUUUCUAAUUUUAAUGCCUAAUUAUAUUUUUUAUCCAAUUUCACAGUCCAUUGAACAUGGAAAAUGAUAGUGGGAGUGGGGCAUCCGUGUACUUUGGACACAUUCUUGUUUUUACUAAUUUGCUUCAUGUAAGCUCCAUACAAAGUUCAAUAUGUUAAUAAAUUUUCAAUAACUACUAGUACUUCUACUUGAAAAAUAAUCACUAUAAUAAAUUCAGAAAUGUCAAAUUGGUCACAGACUGAACAACUCAAAACAUUGAUUGUCAUGAAAAACUGUUGUAAUUGUGAUCCCCCCUAAAACAAUCUGUGUUCAUGAAAUACUAUUUGAUUUCUUAUUGAUUGAGAUAUGUAUGUUUUCCAUGUCAAUUUACAUCGUGUAUUGUUAUGUCUUUUAUCAAAUAAAACAAACAAAAGAAACAAGAC
rnacentral:lncRNA from 1 species